GAUGAAGAACGUAGCGAAAUGCGAUAAGUAAUGCGAAUUGCAGAAUUCAGUGAGUCAUCGAAUCUUUGAACGCACAUUGCGCCCUGUGGUAUUCCGCAGGGCAUGCCUGUUCGAGCGUCAUUUCAACCCUCAAGCUCUGCUUGGUGUUGGGCCCUGCCCGCUGCGGCCGGCCCUAAAGACAGUGGCGGUGCCGCCUGGCCCUGAGCGUAGUACAUCUCUCGCUCCAGUGCCCGGUGGUAGCCUGCCAGAACCCCAACUCUCGUGGUUGACCUCAGAUCAGGUAGGGAUACCCGCUGAACUUAAGCAUAUCAAUAAGCGGAGGA
rnacentral:misc_RNA from 1 species